GCUCUGCCAACGCUCGGGCUUGGCAGGCAGACCAAUCCACAUGUGGUCAGCCAGCGCUGUCCUGCUUCGGCAAAUACAUUUCGGGGUUCGGCAUAACGCCUAGUAGGAAAUCCAAAAGCGCAGCCGAC
ncrna:unclassified sequences RT-10 RNA